rnacentral:misc_RNA from 1 species
UAUUUCACCAUAUACGGUGGCCACAAGAUGAUCUAUAAAGUGUACGGCUCGCCAGAGAACAACAGCGGCAACACCCACAUGUAUUCCAUGUAUGCGCCCCCGAACGCGUACGUCCAAGGACAGGGCGGCAGUAGAACGAUGUAUGGCUACCCCGGCACGGGUGGCCACGGCAGUGGCCACCCAUUCGGCUAUCACGCAAAUCCCUCGAUGGGUGCCAUGUACGAAUAUAAUGGUGGCAACAACGUACACCACAAUGGCAGCGCCCACCUCGCCGGAGGCGGCAUGAAUGGACGAGACAGAGGCGUCGACGUGGUUGGCUCGCGUAUCCCGCACGGGUACGAUCAGCAAUCCACAUCUGACUACGAGGUGCACGACAAUCAACUGAAGGCUCCUGUGGUGGUGACACCAGCGACGGUGGUGUCGACUCUAGGAAGCGCGCGCCUCUUCAGCAAACCGCCAAAGCCCAUUGUGUACGGCUCGCGGUGUGUCGUGCGGAUCUGCGACGCGUUCCAGGAGGGCCGGUGUGCCGCUGGCGAUCGCUGCCAUGAUAUCCAUGUGAGACCCGAGUACCUGGCGGAGACGCGGAUGGAGAUGAGUUCGUGGCUCUACGAUCGGGAGUGCGAGUUCCGCCAGACGAUGGAGAUGGACUCGGAAAAGACGUUUAGCAUCUUCGUGGCGGACCUCAAAGAGGUGGUUGAGGUGCCGAUCAACUCGCUGGUCUUCACCAAAGGCCUUUACGUAGACCCGGCGACGCGCGCGAAACGCGCCCGCGGUGCCGGCAACCAUGCCCACGCACACGCGAUGAUGCAGGUGCCGACAAGCUGCGGCCUUUACUCGACUGACCCACUGCAGUGCAAGUGGGAGCGGUGGUGUAAUCAGGUGCACAUCGAUCACCGGUGGAUGCAGGCGAAGAAGGCGGAGUUUGACCAGUGGUUCAUAGAGCUCCAGAACCGCUACUUUUCCCUUGCACCAGACGAUACUUUCACGGUGCACGACCCGCAGCUCAAGAGCAGUAUUUCCUUGCCCAAGUUCAGCAUUGCAGGCUUCUCUCGCGGCCUCUUCCAGGGCUCUAUGAAGAAGCUCGCAAGUGUGUGCCUGCUGUUCCAGCGCGGCAAGUGCACGGCCGGCUCAUGCUGCAAUCAAAUUCACGUAUUCCCGCAGUACCUCAGCCUCGCGCGCAAGUUUGCGGCGAUGGAGCAGUCCCCCGAGGCGCUCCCUGAGGAGAAGCAGCGGUUAAGGCGUGAGAUGGAGCUGCUGCGCGGCCCCCUGAUGAAGCAGGAGCUGCAGGAGAAGCGGGAGACAGCCGCGAUGGAGUCGGUGUCGCUCCCCAAUGUCGUGAGUUUGGCGAAUGGGGGGACCCAGAGCGACGCCAUGGACGUCAAGGCAGCCGCCGAGGAAGACUUAGGCUCUUGCGGUGCCCUCUUUGAGCAUGUGCAAGUCGACGAGGACGUCGAACCUGUCAGCCACCUCGUCAGCGCUAACACCUCCCUUACACGCCGCAUGAACGCGAGCGCGCCCGACAUCAGCCUUUCCGGUGCGCGCCACAUGAACAGCGAUGGCAGUUACAGCUUCAACCCCUACGGCAGCGUCACUUCCUUGCCAGAUGGGUCGACGUCCUACAACAGGUUCCCUGGCACGCGUGGAAGCGGACAACCGAUGGACGGCAACGGCUCAGUACAGUACACGCCGGGCAGCGUGCAACUUCUCUCGACAGGCACGAAGGGCAUGCGCCGGCUAGUGGCCCUCGUGUCGCCGGAAUCCGGCAACGGUGUUGUUGAAUCUCAUCGCAACGGGGACGACAUGGGUAUCGGCGGCCAUGCGGGCGACGGUGGUGGUGCCACCGGCGCACACGACAGGGCGCCGCAGUUCGCGGCGGUGCACCGUAGUAACGGCGGCUACCGUGCUGUUGCCCACCCUCUUGGUGAUGAGGGAGGCCGCUACGACGGCGGUGCACAGGGAGAGCAAAGCUGUUCGCUUCACCCGCUCGACUUUGACGCGAGCUGGCAUUUUUCGCCUACUCCGCUGCUGGGCUUUGACGCGUCGACGACCAGUACGCACCGAAACGGCUCGAUUCGUGACGAGGACCCGGCUAUGCACGCCCAUCUCCGCCUGGCCGCCUCCAACUCGAGCUACAUCUACCCCGGCUCUUCGACCACGUCGCAGCAGAACCUGCUUUCCACCCCAAUGCAGCGAGGGAUGACGAGCAACGCGACUACUGCUGCGAAGGUCCGCCUGGCCGCCAGCGCGGCAUCCUCGCGAACUCACGCGCACCGCUCGGCAACGUCGAUGCCGGAUUCUUCAACAAACCCCGCCAUGGGGGGCUCUGUCUCCUCUAUCCCUACAGCGAGGCCCACCUUUGUGGGAGAGCAACACGGGGGCACCCGCUAAGGCGGAAUUGUGGUCGUAUUGCCAAGCGGUACGGCUGCCUACAGACUUACCAACUUCCGAGAUGAUGCCGAUGCACACAGGGGGCUAGAACGACACCGCUAGCACCAUCACGCCACACGCAGGCACUUUGCUUUGCUCUCUUCCGUCCCCCUGAUCGACUGAAAGCCGAUCUCCUUUAGAUCAUAUUGGCCGCCCCACCCUGUGUCGAAGUCGUCGAAAACUAUCCUGUUCUGCUGGCCUCGACAGAUUUUUCUGUUAUCGUGGCCAUGGGUGGGGCAGCGGGGACGUGAUGCAGCCUUCAGACUGUCGUCUGCCUAUCCCUUUUUCUCAUCUCUAACUGUGCCCCUGAUGACGAGGGAGCAUGCCCGUGCGUGGUAUCACGGGGCCCAGUGCUUCACUCCAUGUGGGACGCAGCCAGGCAGCCCUCCCCCUCCCUGCCAAUGCAGAGCCCUUGCAGGUGGUGACCGGCAUUACGGGCGAGGCUGUGAGGCGACUUGCGAGACGGUUGCGUGUGGAAGUCGAGGGCAGGGGCUCCGUGCUCUCAGGUGACGGAGUCGGCGCAUUGCGCUCUGCCGCGCGUGUCUACGGCCGCUUCGCACCCCGCAAUGGGGGCCUGUACCGGACAGGGAUGGCGCAUGGCUCGUGUUGUAUGGCAGAGGGAGGUGUCAAGGAAAUUUCAGCGUGCUGCCGACUUGUGAAAAGUAAGUGGAAAUGCCUCUGCUCGCACUUUCCGGUAUAGGCGCACUGCUGCCGCUGCUUUUUGCGAACGCCGCAGAGGUGUCUCAGGAAGCACAGUUGACGGUGAUUGUGUUACCGAGGAGCGAUUACGCACUCGAAGUUUUAUUCUUGGCGUCGCUGCGCCGCGAACAUGAACAGGCUGUUCUGUGUCCUUUCUCAUCAGCAUCUUGUUUGUGGGCAUGCCCACAACGCCCCAUACACCAAAGAGACGUUGCUCAUCGUUUGCCUUGUUCUUUGGAGUGCUCUUGUUAGAUGGGCGUCUCAGCUCUCAGCUGAAUCACUACGAUCCGUUUGACAGGAGCCUUUUACUAUUAUUAUUCAUUGCCGGGACAGGCUCUGGCUGCCCCUUGUCUUAAUGCCGCUGGAUUGUCGCACGAGCUCUUUCCGUUGGUUUGUCCGAUGUGAUGAUGACGUGUGUAUUUUUUUUUUCACCUCUGCACACCUUUCCCUCCUGCAUCACCUUUUUUCGGUUGCCUUGAUCACCUUGGUGGUCUAUGGUUGCUGACCCCUUUGUGGCGUUGGUGCUCUCAUAGACGACGCUAUGCAAGCGCAUGUGCGUGUGAGGGGCCACGGGGGGAGGUAGAAAGCCCAGCAGCACACUUGAAGUUCAAUAAGAAGGCAGGUGACUGCGAUCGGUUACGGAGUAAAAACGGCCAAUGAUGAGAAUGGUGAUGACGAAAAGCAGUGCGCUCGGGCACACGGCAGCUGGUGCUUUUUUUAAAUAUCUCCGCUAUUUUUAUUACAACGUUCCUUAUGUAUGUUCGCCGCACAUGCGUGGCCAAGUCGCGCCGACACGCCUCCUCUCUCUCCUCCCGCUCCUCUCUCCCCUCGCAUGGCAUCGACGGGAAACGGCAGAUGAGGGCAGCGAGCCACCCCCCUUCCCCCCCUCCCCCCCAAUGCACACAGUGGAUGCGUGCGAAGUGUGCGGCCUCUCCCCCAUGCGGCCGGGCGGGUGCGAUGAGGCACGACGAGAGCGCCGCGAAUGGCGGCGUCGAGCCCUCCCGACUGCGGUGUGAAGGGUGCCCACACCACCUUGUGGGAUGCCGCGGCUGGAAGCGACUGAGAGGGCGCAGCACGUGUGCGAAGGAAGGGACGAGGAAGGACAGGAGGAGCCUGCUUAGACGCGUGGCCCCGAUUCGGCGGCUGGACGCUGCGCCCUCGAGGACCCGGAUGUAGUCGCGGCGCCACAGGAGGUGGGUGCGCUGCGGUUGGAAGCGCAUACCUUGACUGACGUGUUCCUGGUAGAGCAAGGCGUUGGAACGAGAACUAAGUGUUUCGUGUAUUUAUUUCCGCUCUAUUUCUUGCUGGCUUUACAGACAUCUCUAUUUCUCUCUCUAGCAGUUCAUGAAGGGGAAAAUAAAAGGAGAAUGCUGUGUGUCUUUUUCGCUAGUCGUCGUCUUCGCUCUCUAAUUUCUUCUUUGGUGUUCGGUUCGCUGCUUCCUUCUCACCGCGCCCUUUUUUUGUGGUUCUUGCGCCAAAUCCCGUCCGUGUCUCGGUUUCACCACGUCGGCCUUUCCCUGCUGUUCGUGAAUUUUUUUUUUCGUUCGCUCGCAGCCUGUUGCUAUGAGGGGAUAGAGGAUCUCAAGAACGCUUUUUCUUUUCUGUGUUGCUGAUGCUUGUCAUGGUCACACGACUUUUGACGGCUAUUCGUUGGUGAAGGUGACGGUGAAAAUCUUGAACGGGUUUUUCGUUUUUUUGUUGUUUGCUACACUUUGUGUAUCGUAGCGUACUUAACCGUCGUUUCCCACACCUUUCUUGCGGUGAGAAGCGUGUACAUAUCACAACCUUGAUGGAUUUUCUGGACGACAGACCGUGCUUGUGCUUCCGAGGAGUGUAGCAAGCGCAAGACGCUAGUGGCGUACCAAGGCCGACGCGAGACAGAACCAAGGAGGACCACGGCAGAGGAACUGUUCAUGACUUGCGGUCAUCGGCAGAAAAGAGAUCGCAUCAGCGCCGAACAACGAUCCGGCGCUUGCGCCUGCUGAGGUGUGGAGCUCAGUGGGGAAUCUGAGGCGCGCUCAUACGGAUCGCGAGAGUGAGCAUCAGCGCCUCGUCUUCGGCGUUGUUCACUUCUUCCUCGUCGGCGCUUUGGGCCCGUGUCUCUGAGUCUCUGCCUGUCGCCUUCGGCUGCUGUGCACGUGGAGCGGUGUAUGCGUCUGCGUGUCUGUGUGUGUGUCAUGCUGAUCCUCCCCUCUUCGUCCUCUACUUGAGCUUCUCUUAUCAACGUGCUAUCUCGCUUUUUUUUUGCCCCCCCCCCCCGCGACUCCACUCCAUCCCACUCGCGAUCUGUUUCUCUUCAG